GGCUGGUCCAAUGGUAGUGGGUUAUCAGAACUUAUUCACAAUAGUGUUGCUACAGUUGGUAUACAACUAUCAACUGCUAAACUCACUGACGUUAA
ensembl:misc_RNA Y_RNA Y RNA